rnacentral:rRNA from 1 species
UACGGAGGGUGCAAGCGUUAAUCGGAAUUACUGGGCGUAAAGCGCACGCAGGUGGCUGAGUAAGUCGAUUGUGAAAGCCCUGGGCUUAACCUGGGAAUUGCAGUCGAUACUGCUCGGCUAGAGUAUGGGAGAGGGUAGUGGAAUUCCCGGUGUAGCGGUGAAAUGCGUAGAUAUCGGGAGGAACAUCAGUGGCGAAGGCGGCUCACUGGCCCGAUACUGACGCUGAGGCACGAAAGCGUGGGGAGCAAACAGG